rnacentral:lncRNA from 1 species
AAUUGAUUUUGGAAAAAAUGGGUGAAAAUUUGGAUUCUGGGGGUAUUUUUGAAAAGAAAAUCGGAAAUCGGGGGUCAAAACGUAAUUUAAAAAAGUUGUGCCACGUCAGCACCAUGUCAGCAGCCACGUCAGCGGCCCAAUCAGCAGCCCCGGCCAACCAGGACGCGCUGCGUGGCAAGGACACGCCGACCAGGGGACGGGCCACGGGGGCGAUCCGUGUGCGCGCGAUCGGACGGCCCAGAUCCGUUCCUGCGCGCACGGACGGCCCAGAUCAACCGUGCGCACGGACGGCCC